rnacentral:lncRNA from 1 species
AACACCGGAGAAUAUAAAACAAGUGAUAUGUCAUUCGCUUAAUAAGGAUCUGUAAUAUUUAAUGUGUGACUUGAUGAAAUAUGGCUUUAAAGGACGGUGUUUGCCCCCCCCCCUUUUUAAAGUGGAGAUGGAGAUAAAGUGCAAUGCGGUUUUCCUCUCCUUCUCCUCACAUUACCCAAAUCUGCUCCGGAGUUUCAGGAGAACCCCCAGAACAGCACACAGGGGAGUGAAAGAGAGGAUUGUUUCAUCUGGCAAGCAGGAAUACUUGUGCUGAUGGAAUGACCAGAAGAGUGCAACACUGAAUUCUUCCUUCUGUAUUAGAAUUCCUUCUAAUCUGUCAUGGCUUUUGUAAUAAGUGAUCGUGGUUUUGGGAAGCUGAAUUUUGCCAGUUGCCUGAAAGCAUAGUGUAGGGUUGUCAUAUUUCAAAAAGUAAAAACCAGGACACCCCCCUCCCAAAGUUAUAGAACAAUAAAAUAUCCCUCCCCCGAUUUGCCUAAGAUCCAGGACAAAGCACCACAUUUCAGAAAUCCCAGAUGUCAAUUUCGCCUUUGAAAUCCUGGUAAUGUUCAGGAAAAUCUGGAUGUAGUGGCUGAAUACCAGCAAAUGCAAGUAGAGGCAGUAUGUGGUGACCAUACAGAGAGAAAAUAUCACUCUUUGGCAGUAAAAUUCUAGCUUUCGUGAUGAUGAAUAUGGUACUGUGAUUUUAACAUACGCACAUUUGAAAAUCCCAUGGAAUGAAUUCAUUUGCCAUACUUCAUAUAGUAUACUAUAAUUUACUUAGGUGGUAUGUUUAGGACCGUAUACCCACAACAGAUUUCCUAUUUCCCACUAAAUAAAAAUGCAGGUGUGCUUUAAAUGUUCAGCAUCUUAGUGAUUGUUUGGCUAUAAAAAUCACACAGCUUCCGCACGGCUGUUGUCUUCCCUGUUGCAGAGAGCGCUGACACGGAGGCACCUGUUCUUUCAGCCCAGCAUUAGAAAUAUCAUUACAUCUUGUCUCUAGAAAUUGUGACUUUUUUCCAAAGAGGGAGAUCAGGUCAACUCGGAGGUCGUUUCUGCAGCCACUGGUAAUGCUAACAAUGGCCUGGCAGGGGAUUAGACAGAAACGCUCAUUCAAUAAAGUCGAAAGGAUUUUUGUCUCCCCAAAGCACUGAGAGCAAUGAGUUUAUAGAUAACUCAACUACCACUUGCCCUGUGGACAAUAUCCUUUAACUUCUACUGAGGCAAUGCCUUGUAUGAUGCUGGACUUUGUCCACCGUUAGAACAGAGCUGGGAAUCCUUGCUACCUUGUUCUCUUAGCAUUGCAUUAAGAUGCUCUGUAAAAACAUAUCACGCCGGGGGCUAUUUUUAGUGACAAUUUUACAAUUUGCUGGUUGUUUCUAGCAUUGUGCAGUACACUAUCACUUUCAACGGCUUGUUUAAUUGCCCUGUCUGAGUAGAUCAUUUGCAACUCUGAGGGAAACCUGUUUCAGCUUUUAAUCUUGCCAUUGGCUUCUGCUUCCUAUCCACACUUGUCACAUGCUCUGAAGCAAUUGGGAAUUGCAUCCAUUUUCUCAAUUUCUUUCACAAAUCAAGGUAAUUUGUUUACUUACUAUGCAAACGUAGGACUCAGAGCUGAACUAAAUGUACAGGUUAUUUUCUUCAAUUAUUUACAGCAAAAACUGACUGAAAGUUAGGCAAGGGGAAAGGUUUCAUAUACUGUUUAUACUUUUAUGUUUCAUAAAGGAGCAUAGAUUAACACUAGUGUGUAUUAUUAGAUACACCUAUACACAAAAAGCAGGAAUACUCUUUGGGUGUUUAGUGGAAGGAGACUUUCACUUCUUUCCCCAUUGUCCUGUAUGACAAACCUCAGUCUGGGCAUGAAUUGAGUCAGUCAGAGAUGGAUUUAAGGUAGUGCGACCUGUUCUUCUGCACUGGGCACUGAGUGUAGGGGGUGCUGCAGGGCAUCACAACUAUGACAUAGUGAACUGAGCAGAACAGAAGGUGAGAGAUGGGGGUACGCUGAAUUUUGGCCUCGUACAGGGAGCUACUGAAAUUUGAAAUACCAAAGUCCAUUCCCGCCUCAGCACUAGAGCCUCACUAGAAUACUUGGCCGCUGGCCCACAGGGUUCAAAAUGAUUUUUUUCCAUCUCAACCUAAAUUGGUUAUAGGGCUUGGAGUGGGUUACCUUUCCCUCAGUAAGUCACGGCUGAUUCCUGUUAGGUGAUGUUGGAAAUUUCAUAUACUCUAUCAGAAAUAGCACUGGGCAGGAUCAGCAUAGAAGGAGCCCCCCCCCCGGGGGGGGGCUUGGGGCAGAGGAUUAACUAUUAGACACCCUGAGUUUGGGUUGGGGCCUCUGCCUGGCUGGAAUCUCUCAGUCACCCAGUGAGGCCCUGGAUGCUUGGUUUGUGCCAGGGUUCAGCACUGGGCACCUUCCGGGGAGUGGGUUUGGUGCUUCCCUACCCAAACAGAGUGCCAUUUCAUCAAUGCCAGCUGGUGGAAUGAGGAAUUGGAUCCUCACCCUACUGCCAUGCCAACCCUACCUUUCCACUUUCUUGGUUAUUUUCACCACUUUGACAGGGCCACACACUGCACCUCCCUGGGCAAGCCAAACCUGCUGAAAUUCCCUCUUCUACAUAGUUAUCAAAGCUCCAGGAAUCCUGUCUUCUUGCGGGAGGCAGUGGAAGACAGGAGUGCCUGGCGUGCUCUGGUCCAUGGGGUCAUGAAGAGUCAGACACGACUGAACGACUAAACAACAACAA